rnacentral:rRNA from 1 species
UGGGGAAUAUUGGACAAUGGGGGCAACCCUGAUCCAGCAAUGCCGCGUGUGUGAAGAAGGUUUUCGGAUUGUAAAGCACUUUCGGCGGGGACGAUGAUGACGGUACCCGCAGAAGAAGCCCCGGCUAACUUCGUGCCAGCAGCCGCGGUAAUACGAAGGGGGCUAGCGUUGCUCGGAAUGACUGGGCGUAAAGGGCGUGUAGGCGGUUUGUACAGUCAGAUGUGAAAUCCCCGGGCUUAACCUGGGAGCCGCAUUUGAGACGUGCAGACUAGAGUGUGAGAGAGGGUUGUGGAAUUCCCAGUGUAGAGGUGAAAUUCGUAGAUAUUGGGAAGAACACCGGUGGCGAAGGCGGCAACCUGGCUCAUUACUGACGCUGAGGCGCGAAAGCGUGGGGAGCAAACAGGAU